rnacentral:rRNA from 1 species
UGCAAGUCGAACGGUGAUCUUGAGAGCUUGCUCUUGGGUGAUCAGUGGCGAACGGGUGAGUAACACGUGAGUAACCUGCCCCAGACUCUGGAAUAACUUCGGGAAACCGGAGCUAAUACUGGAUACGAAACGAAGCUGCAUGGCUAUCGUUUGGAAAGUUUUUCGGUUUGGGAUGGACUCGCGGCCUAUCAGCUUGUUGGUGAGGUAAUGGCUCACCAAGGCGACGACGGGUAGCCGGCCUGAGAGGGCGACCGGCCACACUGGGACUGAGACACGGCCCAGACUCCUACGGGAGGCAGCAGUGGGGAAUAUUGCACAAUGGGCGAAAGCCUGAUGCAGCGACGCCGCGUGAGGGAUGACGGCCUUCGGGUUGUAAACCUCUUUCAGCAGGGAAGAAGCGAAAGUGACGGUACCUGCAGAAGAAGCACCGGCUAACUACGUGCCAGCAGCCGCGGUAAUACGUAGGGUGCGAGCGUUGUCCGGAAUUAUUGGGCGUAAAGAGCUUGUAGGCGGUUUGUCGCGUCUGCCGUGAAAUUUCGAGGCUCAACCUCGAACUUGCGGUGGGUACGGGCAGACUAGAGUGUGGUAGGGGAGACUGGAAUUCCUGGUGUAGCGGUGAAAUGCGCAGAUAUCAGGAGGAACACCGAUGGCGAAGGCAGGUCUCUGGGCCACUACUGACGCUGAGAAGCGAAAGCAUGGGGAGCGAACAGGAUUAGAUACCCUGGUAGUCCAUGCCGUAAACGUUGGGAACUAGGUGUGGGUCUCAUUCCACGAGAUCCGUGCCGCAGCUAACGCAUUAAGUUCCCCGCCUGGGGAGUACGGCCGCAAGGCUAAAACUCAAAGGGAAUUGACGGGGGGCCCGCACAAGCCGGCGGAGCAUGCGGAUUAAUUCGAUGCAACGCGAAGAACCUUACCAAGGCUUGACAUAUGCGAGAACGCGGCAGAGAUGUCGUUCUCUUUGGACACUCGUAUACAGGUGGGUGCAUGGUUGUCGUCAGCUCGUGUCGUGAGAUGUUGGGGUUAAGUCCCGCAACGAGCGCAACCCUCGUUCUAUGUUGCCAGC